UACGUAGGGGGCAAGCGUUGUCCGGAAUCAUUGGGCGUAAAGCGCACGUAGGCGGCCCGGUAAGUCCGUUGUGAAAGUCAGAGGCUCAACCUCUGGAGGCCAAUGGAUACUGCCGGGCUAGAGUCCGGAAGAGGCGAGUGGAAUUCCUGGUGUAGCGGUGGAAUGCGCAGAUAUCAGGAGGAACACCAAUGGCGAAGGCAGCUCGCUGGGACGGUACUGACGCUGAGGUGCGAAGGUCAGGGGAGCAAACGGG
rnacentral:rRNA from 1 species